CCGUGCUAGGCGGGGAGCCAGCGGUGCCCUGUACCCGCAAUCCGCUCCAGCGGGGCUGAAUCCCCUCCCGAGGUCCGGCGUCGCGGAUGUAAGCGAGCGCGUCGCGGCGAUGACGAUCGGGUCCUGUGCAGCAACGUCCCGCGAACCCCGUCAGGUCCGGAAGGAAGCAGCGGUAAGCGAUCUUCGUUGCGUGCCGCAGGCAAGCCUGAUCCGAGCCAAAGCGCGCGCGCGUCUCCGAGAUGACGCGAUCGACGGAGGGUGCACGG
rnacentral:SRP_RNA from 1 species